CUCGGGUGACGAGUGGCGGACGGGUGAGUAAUGUCUGGGGAUCUGCCCGAUAGAGGGGGAUAACCACUGGAAACGGUGGCUAAUACCGCAUAACGUCGCAAGACCAAAGAGGGGGACCUUCGGGCCUCUCACUAUCGGAUGAACCCAGAUGGGAUUAGCUAGUAGGCGGGGUAAUGGCCCACCUAGGCGACGAUCCCUAGCUGGUCUGAGAGGAUGACCAGCCACACUGGAACUGAGACACGGUCCAGACUCCUACGGGAGGCAGCAGUGGGGAAUAUUGCACAAUGGGCGCAAGCCUGAUGCAGCCAUGCCGCGUGUAUGAAGAAGGCCUUCGGGUUGUAAAGUACUUUCAGCGGGGAGGAAGGCGGUG
rnacentral:rRNA from 1 species